GAAAGCCUGGGCUAAAGUUGGCCAGUUACUUAAAAAGCCAUGUUAGGAAGCUACCAAUAAAAAAAGGAUUUUAGAAUGUUUUGAUAUACACUAUUUUGAGACUAUGAGAACAGCAGAAUUAUUCUCUGUCUCACAGCCAAACUCCACUACGAUUUUAUUACCAAUAAUGGACUGAGAACAUCAUUGCACUUGAAAGACAUACGAGAUUACUGAUGUUGAACAUCUGCAAAAAGAGGAAGAAUCGGGAAAUGAAGUACCUCUCAACAGCAGUUUAAGUCAACAACUAAAAUUAAUUGCCUUCACUUUCAAACUACAGUACUUGUGCAGGCUGCACAUGAACAGCCAAUUUCACACUCCUAGAAUCUGGCAAAACCUUGACAAAACAGCCUCCUCUCGGAAGCAGAGGAAAAGUCAGCCCUGCCUCUCAUGUCUCUUAAUAAGCCUGUUUGUAAAAGGGUGUAGAAAGUGAUCUUGUACUGCAGAGAUGGGUAACAUCAUUAAGAUCUAUACAGCUUUGCCUCUGCAACUUGAGAUUAUUAAGUUCAAAUAAUUUCUCAUAUCAGCUUGUAUAGAAGAUUCUGUUAGCUUGUACACAAUUACAACUUUGCAUGCAUCAUGUCAAGAAGGUCAGCAAUGCUGAAGGAGUGGCUAAGCAUGUAACUUGAACCCUGCCCAUUGUGAAAGUGCUCUUCUGGAGUGAAUGUGGGUCCCAUGCCCACAUUCCACCCUCUAGUAAGGUGUCAGUGCCAUACACAUGCUGCAUUACCUUGUCCAGUUCACAUCAAACCUCUGUGCUUCAUUUACCACACAUGGACAUCGACGCUAGGUCACCUCGGUAUGGCCCUUGAACCCAAUUUUUACACUGCGUACAUUUAUUUCUGCAGGCUGAGGAACCACAAGCUGUGCAUAAAAUAAGAUCUUUUUGAUUUGGCUGUUAAAUGAGUUCUUUUUGAUGCACCCACAAUCUAUAGUGGGAAGAAAAAGCUUGUCUGUCAGCCUUAGCCUACCUCAGAUCUACUAAGCAACUCUUAAAAUAAAUGGUAGUAAACAUGGGGUAUGUAUAUGCUUAUUUAUAUGCUGUGUUUACAAGAAGUUUUGAAUUCCAUCCCAUUGUUUGUAAAUAUUCUAUAUAACUCAUCUGUUUUUAUGUAUUAAUUUGUAUGUGUUCAUUUAUAUUUGGUAACAACCUGUUUUAUGGAAAUAUUUUAAUAAAAAUCUGUGAACAUGAGGAAAAGUAGACCACAAUACAGAUGCACAAACAAACACUCGCUGCAUGACUCUGAGGAAAAAAAAGUGUACAUGGGAUUCACACAUCAUCUAAAUAGAGAAAUGUAUAAAACAGCAAUGCAGACUGCAUGAAGCAUGUAAAUAAAGGCUAAACAGGAACACUGAUGGUCCUGCUUCCCUGCUGGCUCAUCCCACAUGCCACAGAGAGGCAGGCAAGGAGCUGGAUCAGGCCCAGCGCCCACAGGUUUGAGACAGUUCUGUGGUGUACCAUACUCACAGGGCCCAUGCAUGGGCCCUGUUGCAGCCCUCCUGUUGCAGGAGGGCUUCUCCCCACUGCAUGGUAUCCUACCCUCAGCCCCAAAUGAGCCUGGGGCAGGCAGGUCCACCUCAGGUGCCCACUGGGACUUGGGACACCUUUUUGCCUCUCCCCAUCCUUCGCACCCUCACGGGCCUCACAUACAGCUCUUGUAUGCCUUGAGAAGAAGCGAGAGGGCAGCCCGCACCCCAGCUGGUGCUUGCCCUUUGCUUUGUUCCUACCAAGCAUUAUGAUGUGGAAAUCGUGCUCCGGAUUUCCUCGAACGAACACCAGUGGCCAAGCCAUGAGGCUGGGUGUAAUUUCUGAAGCACUGACCCCCGUGAUUUCAACAUCUCCAUUUCCUGGCCCUGGCGCAACGGAGGGGGAUCCACGUGGAGCUGAGACAUUACAGGGGAAGAGGGCAAGUGACCUGGAAUUUUAUAAUAAGGAGUGUUUUGGAACACAGUGGUGGAUUUUGUAAUGAAAUGACAGUGCUGUUUAUGCUUCAGAAAGGAUUUUUGACAAAGUUCCACAUCCAAGGUUAAUACUAAUGUUUUUGGGCGCAGGAGUCAUGGAAUAAGUAAAAAGUUGGCUCAGAAAUUAAUGAUGAAGAAUGGGAAGACAAAGAAAAUAAGUGAUAUGAAAUGAAUUAUAACAGGAGGAACUGUAAACCAGAGUAGAAAAUAAUGCAUGAAGAUACAGAAGAUUGCAAU